rnacentral:lncRNA from 1 species
CAGAGGGGAGGAUUUCUGCUGGUAUGAAUGUGAGUGUUUAGCUGUGUUGUAAUGUAUUGAUUGGUUGUUCUUCAUGGGCGGUACUAUGUUUGUAAAAUGGGCAUAAAAGCAGAGUGUUUGAUUAAAAGCUUCAGUUCUACUACGCACCUCAAUUUGGAGUUCCGUCUCAUAUUGGGGGAAUCUGCUACAAGGGAUUGCUAUGCUCUGCAUAUUCCCUUGCUAUAAUAACUCCUAAGCUCUUUUAAGAGCUUGUUCCUGCUUCGCUCUGAAAGAAGAGCGGUUCGGCCUGCGGAGGUUGUGGUGUCUGCUAGAGUGCUUGGAGCCCUCUGGAAGCGCUAGGAGCAUCCUUCAAUGGAGGUACCCAGUCGGGGAGCCAGGCGAUCCGUUACAGUGGUCCCCUCCUUCUUUCUACGACCUUCACAGACAGUCUGUAACUUGUUCUGCCUAGUGAGUCGUAGCAUGAGGACCUGCUGCCCUUCCAUGAAUUCCCAUUUCGGGCCAGAAGUCAAAUUUUUUACUUCAAGGUAAUUUCGUCUCCUUUUCUCGGGGAUAGCCGAUAAGCCUCUGCAGCUCGACCAGUUAGUUUCCCGACCAAGAUGGGGACCCAUUCGUGAGAUUUCACGUGGUGUGUUCGGUACUGACUUUCAAAGUCUUGUAAGAAUCCGUCGAUGUCCUCAACUUGAUUGUCAACAGUUUUAAAGGACUGGGUGACCUUGAUGCCGCUGCUGGAAUGGGAGCUUUGGAGGGACCCCAUAUCUUCUGGGAUAGUGGCCGUAGCUUUGCCUCGGCUAAUGGCCAGUUCUUUAGCUCGCUCCCUUUCGGCUGCCUCCAUGAUUCGCUUUAUGAGGUGGGUUUGGACCAAAAAAAGCUAAGGGUUCUCUCACCCGUCUGGAGAGCUCCUUUGGUGCAGUCUGGGGUGCUGGGUGGGUUGCUGGCAUGGCUAGACCUCUUGGUCCAGAUUUACCAAUUAGCUUGGUGUGGCGAAAGUAACCUCGCCACUGGGACUUGGAGGGGCCUAAUUGCCAGCCUCUUGCCCCAGGAUUAUGGUCCAUGUAUUAGACCUGGAUUCAGGACUGGGGAAAGCCUUUGUUUAUGCCUUUUCCUUUUUACAGUUCAAUAUAUGAAACUACCGAAUGGAUUGUGCCUAUGGUGUUCAUUUACCGACAACAAUCGAACAGCCGGACCACACACAAGUGGAGGGUGUAGCCCAUUUACCUCCCAGACUGGUAGUUAACCACAGCCAAAUUGAUAAACGGCUGGGUGGUCGCAGUUUGUAUAGUCAAACACGUGGUGGUGGUUAGCUACUUUAAUUAUAUCACAGGCAUUUACUGUAUGUGGGAGUGUCGUGCUGUUAACGACUGUUUUGAUUGGUUUACGUCCCUUGUGUCCCUGUGUUCCAUCAGGUCCAGGGGGUGUGCCUCUGGCCUGAAAAACUGUAUAAAUUGUAAGUGCUGCCUUCUAUUAAACAGAUCUGUGUUACCCCUUCAUGAAGUCUUGGCUCAUGUUUGGGGGAUGGGAUAACUACACUCUUGGAGAUUACUAUAAUCACAAUACUCCCCUGAGCUCUUGUAAGAGCUUGUUCCUGCUACGCUCUCUGGACUAAGAGAGGCCUAUCCACUGGAAGCUGGAUCCUGGUCUUGGGUCCAGGGUGGGUGGAGGACGGCGAGACCCUGGCGCAGCUGCAUCGCUGGUAGUGGGGUCUGCAGUGCUUAUGGUGUCUGGUGGAGUGCUUGGAGCCCUCGGCAAGCACUAGGAGCAUCGAUUGGCGGAGGUACUCUGUUAGUGUGCCAGCGGUCCAUCACACUUGGGUUUCUUCAUCCCCGCUGGACCUAGUUACUUCUCGGUCAGUAGUUCCUGUAGGGCUACUUUAGUUAGUUGUCUGUAGCUUUCUGCCAUCCAUGUCACUGUAUUUUCCGCUGGACUUGUUUGGUACGGAGGAUCCCACCUCAAACAAAAGUGACAAGGGUUACUAGGCUCAGGUCGUUGUGCCUUCCUUCCUCCCUCCACUAGUCCUAAUUCCACAUGGGCUUAGUAGUGUUUUAGCUCUCUGUCACAAACGCUCCUUCCCACGAACGUUUGCCACAGACAUCUGCAGAAGUGUGGAAGCCGGCCUCCU